UACGUAGGGUGCAAGCGUUAAUCGGAAUUACUGGGCGUAAAGCGUGCGCAGGCGGUUUUGUAAGUCUUACGUGAAAUCCCCGGGCUCAACCUGGGAAUUGCGUUGGAGACUGCAAGGCUGGAGUCUGGCAGAGGGGGGUAGAAUUCCACGUGUAGCAGUGAAAUGCGUAGAGAUGUGGAGGAACACCGAUGGCGAAGGCAGCCCCCUGGGUCAAGACUGACGCUCAUGCACGAAAGCGUGGGGAGCAAACAGG
rnacentral:rRNA from 1 species